GACGAACGCUGGCGGCGUGCUUAACACAUGCAAGUCGAACGGAAAGGCCCUGCUUUUGUGUGGUGCUCGAGUGGCGAACGGGUGAGUAACACGUGAGUAACCUGCCCUUGACUUUGGGAUAACUUCAGGAAACUGGGGCUAAUACCGGAUAGGAGCUCCUGCUGCAUGGUGGGGGUUGGAAAGUUUCGGCGGUUGGGGAUGGACUCGCGGCUUAUCAGCUUGUUGGUGGGGUAGUGGCUUACCAAGGCUUUGACGGGUCGCCGGCCUGGGAGGGUGACCGGCGACAUUGGGACUGAGAUACGGACCAGACUCCUACGGGAGGCAGAAGUGGGGAAUAUUGCACAAUGGGCGGAAGCCUGAUGCAGCAACGCCGCGUGCGGGAUGACGGCCUUCGGGUUGUAAACCGCUUUCGCCUGUGACGAAGCGUGAGUGACGGUAAUGGGUAAAGAAGCACCGGCUAACUACGUG
rnacentral:rRNA from 1 species